rfam:Cryptococcus gattii R265 mitochondrial scaffold supercont2.28, whole genome shotgun sequence.
GUGUGAGUAAUCAAAGUGAUUGUUGGGGAUGUCUAGCACACAUUCAUAAUACGGAAGACUUAUUGUCUAAAAGCUAUAUAAUUAAAUGAAUAUAUUAUAGCGUUCCGCACGGGAAACCGUAAAUUAUAAACACAGUGAACUGAACCAUCUUAGUAACUGUAGGAAAGGAAAACAACCGUGACUUCUAAAGUAGUGGCGAGCGAAAUAGAAUUAGCCAAAAAUCAUUAUUAUAAUACAGAAUACUUUGGGAAAAGUAAUCCGUAGAAGGUAAUAGCCCUGUAUGUUUAUAAUAAGAGAUAAUAAAUAAGUAAUGUAAGAGAAAACUUGUAUGAAGUUCUUUAAAAAAGAAAUUGGGGAACCAUCCUCAAAGGCUAAGUAUGAAUGAUGUAGCGAUAGUGAAAAGUACCGUGAGGGAAAGAUGAAAAGAAAGUCGAUGACUAGUGAAAUAGAUUCUGAAUCAGCAAUCAUAUAAGCAGUUAAAGCAAUUCAAUAAAUAUUUGAAUGUGAUAACGUACCUUUUGCAUAAUGGGUUAGCAAGUUAUUUCUAGUAGCGAGGUUAAUAACCCCAGCGACAGCGACUGAUUAAUAAUAGAUUAAUUCGGGAUAGUUACUAGGAUUAGACCCGAAACGUGGUGAUUUACCCUUUGUCAGACUCAUAGGUCGAACGGGUCAAUGUUGCAUUAUUGUCCGAUGAACAAAGGGUGGUAAGUGAAAGACAACUCUGACCACGAUAUAGCUGGUACUCCUCGAAACGUAUUGAGGUACGGUUUUCCAUAUAUACUUACAUAGGUAGAGCACUGACCAUCAUAUUAAUGGUUUUAAUCGUUAAUUUAAUUGGGGGAUCAUAGAUUCUACCUUUGAUGUGUUAACCGCCAAAUGAUGUAAUUUUUUAUGGAAAGGACAGACUAUUCAUGAUAAGGUGGAUAGUCGAAACGGAAACAGCCGAGAACAUAGAUAAAAGGUCCCAAAAUAAUAACUAAGUGAAUUUAAGGAAGUCAUAAUCCUAAUACAGCAAUGAUGUUAGCUUGGAGGUAGCUAUCAUUUGAAGAGAGUGUAACAACUCAGUUGUCUAAUGGAUUAUAGGCACCGAUAAUACGCGGGUCUAUAGGUUAUUUACCGAAACUAUGUCAAUUAAAUUAUAUAUUCUAUAAUUUAAUCAGAGUAGAGGAGCAUCUCAUGUGGAUGAAAAAUAGUGUUUCAUUAUUUGGACAUAAUGGGAGAGAGAAUGCUAACAUGAGUAACGUAGAAGAUAGUUAUAAUACUAUCCGCCGAUUGAACAAGGGUUUCGUUGUCAUGGUUAACAGCGACGAUUUAUAACGGUCUCUAAGAUAAUAAAUAUUGAUGAGUUUGUCAUAGAUAGCUAUAACAUUAGUUAUGGUCAGGAAAAUUAUAUGAUUAUUACCGUACCCUAUAACCGACACAGGUGUUCAAGUAGAGAAUACUAAGGCGUUGAGAUAAUACCGCAUAAGGAACUCGGCAAAAUGCUUCCUAACACUUGAUAAUAAGGAAGACCAUUUUUAAAUGGUGGCACAUAAUAGGGAGGGGCGACUGUUUACCAAAAACACCGGUAUCUGCUAUAUAAUUUUGUAUAGAUACUGAAUCUUGUCCAAUGCCAAGAGUCUAAAAUUAAUCUGUAAUUUGCAGAUAAUUGAAACUUAGGUGAAUGACCGUCUUAACUAUAAGGAUGUUAAAGUAGCGAAAUUCAUUGUUCGCUAAAUACGAUCCUGCAUGAAUAGAUUAACGAUCCCUCCACUGUCUCAUGCGGUACCUCAGUGAAAUUGGUUUAGCCGUGCAGAUACGGUUUAUGUGCAAGAGGACACGAAGACCCUAUACAGCUUUACUAUAGCUAGUUAUUGUAAUCGUCUUAAUAAUUUAGAAGGUAGUCGUUAGACGCAAAUGAAAUACCUUUAUUUAUUAAUGAUAGUUACUAUGCUUAAUAAGCUAAUAUGACUAGUGGGUAGUUUAACUGGGACGGUUUCCUCCAAUAAAGUAUCGGAGGACCUCAAAGGUAUGCUGAUGUUAGAUGGAAGCUAACAUGUCAUGAGGACAUACAAAAGCCCAUAGGUAUAUGCAUGCUUAACUGCAAGACCGAUAAGUCAAAGCAGAUACUUAAGUAGGACUAAGUGAUCCGCUAGUUCUAUAUGGAUAGGCUAGCGCUCAAGAGAUAAAAGUUACGCUAGGGAUAACAGGGUUAUAGCGCACGAGAGUUCAUAUUGUCGGCGCUGUUUGCCACCUCGAUGUCGACUCAUCUUAUCCUCCCGGUGCAUUAGCUGGGAAGGGUUCUGCUGUUCGCAGAUUAAAAAGGUACGUGAGUUGGGUUCAAUACGACGUGAGUCAGUAUGGUUUAUAUCCUUUGCACAUAAGAAUAGUCAAAUCAGAAUCAGUCUUUAGUACGAAAGGACCAAGAUCUGGUGCAUCUCUGGUGUACCUUCUGUUUUAAAGCACCGAAGGGUAGCUAUAUGCAUAAUGGAUAAGAACUGAAAGCAUCUAAGUUCGAAGCCAAUCUGUUUUUUGACUUAAGCGGCUAGAAGUAGACUACUUCUUGAUAGGUCACAUGUGUACGUACUGUAAAGUAUUUAGCUAAGUGAUACUAAUAGCCUUAUUACUCACACCU